rnacentral:rRNA from 1 species
GACGAACGCUGGCGGCGUGCCUAAUACAUGCAAGUUGAGCGCUGAAGGUUGGUACUUGUACCAACUGGAUGAGCAGCGAACGGGUGAGUAACGCGUGGGGAAUCUGCCUUUGAGCGGGGGACAACAUUUGGAAACGAAUGCUAAUACCGCAUAAAAACUUUAAACACAAGUUUUAAGUUUGAAAGAUGCAAUUGCAUCACUCAAAGAUGAUCCCGCGUUGUAUUAGCUAGUUGGUGAGGUAAAGGCUCACCAAGGCGAUGAUACAUAGCCGACCUGAGAGGGGGAUCGGCCACAUUGGGACUGAGACACGGCCCAAACUCCUACGGGAGGCAGCAGGAGGGAAUCUUCGGCAAUGGACGAAAGUCUGACCGAGCAACGCCGCGUGAGUGAAGAAGGUUUUCGGAUCGUAAAACUCUGUUGGUAGGGAAGAACGUUGGUGAGAGUGGAAAGCUCAUCAAGUGACGGUAACUACCCAGAAAGGGACGGCUAACUACGUG